AUUCAAACAUCUGUUCCCAUAUGAUCAUUGAUAUUAAGCAAUGUCAAGCCUGGUCAGUACUUAGAUAGGUGACCUCUUGGGAAUACCAGAGGCUGUAAG